rfam:TPA: Bos taurus chromosome 18, whole genome shotgun sequence.
UCCCUGGUGGUCCAGUGGUUAGGACUCUGUACUUCCAAUGUAGGGGGCUCAGGUUCAAUCCCUGGUCGGGGAG